GGGGCCAUAGCUCAGUUGGGAGAGCGCUACAAUGGCAUUGUAGAGGUCGGCGGUUCGAACCCGCCUGGCUCCACCA
rnacentral:tRNA from 1 species